rnacentral:lncRNA from 1 species
CUCUGGGCACCGUCAAAACCUCCAGAUAACCUGGCAACUGCAAAUGAAUUUCAAGCAUUUGACAAAGUGGGGUUGAACAUCACUUCACUCUGGUUUGCCGCGGAAGCCUUAAUAUUAAGCUCUGAAUUCUCUGACAUUGGAAUAGAUCGAAAGCAUCCUACAAUCGCCGCCCGCCAGGCGCCCACGUGACCUCGUUGUCUUUGCGGCAUGUGCAAACUUGUUCACAGCUGUGGCUGUUGUCAUCACUUCAGCGGGAUUAUGUGCACUGUUGGCACUUCAUGUGCCGGGUUUAAUUGCCAUGUAAAAUGCCUUCAGAAAGAUUAUACUAUGAUUCAGCAUUGAAAGGAAAACUUACGGUGUAUUCAGAAAGAGCAGACACCUUCAUAGAACUCCCUCAUCCCACACAAGACGCAAGUCAGAAAAAACAAAUCUCUACUCAAUUGUCCUGCUGUCUGUGACCUGGGAAAAGAGACUGUCUGAGGGAUGAGUUGGGUCUCUUGUAACUGCAACAAAGUGAAUGUCUCCGGAUGUUCUAAAAGACCCUUCUCAGAGGCCCCAGGAACCUUCCUGCAAACCAAGACUUCCCUCCAGGCACCUUGUUUACCCCGAUGUGACCAAUUCUAUCUAUGCAGAAGCUGCCUAUCCAGUUUUUAAUAUAAGUUGGGCAGAUGUCAGCUCAAGAAGAAGGAAUGAGGGGAGGCACUCAAAGGCGACUCUCACCAAAAAGGAUUUCUUCGUAUUCUGACUUCCAGAGUACAGUCGCUAUCUAUAAAAUAUCCUCCCUCUCCGGCCUCCCACCCUCAGCUGUCAAGAGAUGACUAUUCUGCAUACAGACUGUCAAUGGAUUUCAGCCUUCCAGUUCCACUUCUUCCUCUUCCCCAGCUGUUAGCAUCUAGUUCUGUGCUGUCCAACCCAAUCACAAUAUGCCACCUGAUGCUACUGAACACUCUGAAUAUGGUGAGCUUGAAUUGAAGUGUGACACAGUGUAGAACACACAGACUUUGAAGGCUUAGCACCAAAAAAAGAAUGUAGAUCUCUCACCAAUAAUUUUAAUAUUGAGUACAUGUUGAAAUGAAGCCAUUUUAGAU